rnacentral:lncRNA from 1 species
AUGCCACUGGAAGCAGUUACAUCAAUCCAAGUAGGAGAAAGGAGAGUAGCAGAUGCAGAAAAUAAGUUUCGUAAGCAUUCCUAUCAGCACGAAACAGGUGAGGAUCCCACUGGGCACAGGGUAAUCCUUGUGGAUAAAUGGUACAUAUCGAAAAAUCUGUUGACUUAUCAUUUAGCGACAGCUGCCCAACUACCUUUCUCCCUACUGCGAGAGUCCCUGGCUGAAUCAUCAGAAGUUGAUUAAUAAUCAAAAAAGUAGAAUCUGCUAGGGUGUAGGAAAUAGGCGCUCACUUACACAGUACAGCUGAGAACAAAAUUGGCACAAUUUUUUUCUGGACAAGAGUUGGCCUAUAUAUUAGCAGCCUUUAAAAUAUGGUUACUCUUUGACCUUACAGUUUCACAUUUGUGAAAUUAUUCAGAAGAAAUAAUCAGAUAAAUGUGCAAAUAUAGAAGUCCAAGGAUGUUCACUGCAGCAUUGUUUAUAAUAAUGGAAAAUUGGAAACCUAUCUAAAAUGGUCAGUAAAAAGGACCUUAUUAUGAUACUUUUCUAUGACAGAGUAAUAUGUACACAUUACAAAAUUUUAUAAAAAAAUGCAUAAUCAUAUAGGAAAAUAUUCGUGAACUAGUAUCAAGUGAAAAAAGCAAAAUGGAAAACUGUAUGUUUAGGUAGUAGCAUUCUAUUUUUGUAAUAAAUAUGCAGAUUUAGAUACUUAAAAAAAACCC